rnacentral:rRNA from 1 species
AACGAACGCUGGCGGCAUGCCUAACACAUGCAAGUCGAACGAGACCUUCGGUUCUAGUGGCGCACGGGUGCGUAACGCGUGGGAACCUGCCCUUAGGUUCGGAAUAACUCCCCGAAAGGGGUGCUAAUACCGGAUAAUGUCUUCGGACCAAAGAUUUAUCGCCUUUGGAUGGGCCCGCGUUGGAUUAGCUAGUUGGUAGGGUAAAAGCCUACCAAGGCGACGAUCCAUAGCUGGUCUGAGAGGAUGAUCAGCCACACUGGGACUGAGACACGGCCCAGACUCCUACGGGAGGCAGCAGUGGGGAAUAUUGGACAAUGGGCGAAAGCCUGAUCCAGCAAUGCCGCGUGAGUGAUGAAGGCCUUAGGGUUGUAAAGCUCUUUUACCCGGGAUGAUAAUGACAGUACCGGGAGAAUAAGCUCCGGCUAACUCCGU